UGGGGUAUAUUGCACAAUGGGCGAAAGCCUGAUGCAGCGACGCCGCGUGGGGGAUGAAGGCUUUCGGGUUGUAAACCUCUUUCGCUAUCGAACAAGGCCCGCUUAGGGUGGGUUGAGGGUAGGUGGAGAAGAAGCGCCGGCUAACUACGUGCCAGCAGCCGCGGUAAUACGUAGGGCGCGAGCGUUGUCCGGAAUUAUUGGGCGUAAAGGGCUUGUAGGCGGCUUGUUGCGCCUGCUGUGAAAACGCGGGGCUUAACUUCGCGCGUGCAGUGGGUACGGGCAGGCUGGAGUGUGGUAGGGAUGACUGGAAUUCCAGGUGUAGCGGUGGAAUGCGCAGAUAUCUGGAGGAACACAGAUGGCGAAGGCAGGUCACUGGGCCAUUAAUGACGCUGAGGAGCGAAAGCAUGGGUAGCGAACAGG
rnacentral:rRNA from 1 species